ensembl:snRNA U6 U6 spliceosomal RNA
UUAUUAGGAUUUAUCAGUACAUAUACUAAAAUUGUAAUAAUACAGAGAUUAGCGUGGCCUCUGGGCAAAUUCAUGAAGUGUCUUACAUUUUU